AGACGAUGACGUUGAUAGGAUGCAGGUGUAAAGACAGCGAUGUCAAAGCCGAGCAUUACUAAUUGCCCGAACACUUUCUUUAUU
rnacentral:rRNA from 1 species